CACGUAGGGUGCGAGCGUUGUUCGGAAUUAUUGGGCGUAAAGAGCUCGUAGGCGGUGUGUCGCGUCGGCCGUGAAAACCUGCAGCUUAACUGUGGGCGUGCGGUCGAUACGGGCAUCACUGGAGUUCGGCAGGGGAGACUGGAAUUCCUGGUGUAGCGGUGAAAUGCGCAGAUAUCAGGAGGAACACCGGUGGCGAAUGCGGGUCUCUGGGCCGAUACUGACGCUGAGGAACGAAAGCGUGGGGAGCGAACAGG
rnacentral:rRNA from 1 species